rnacentral:rRNA from 1 species
GAUGAACGCUGGCGGCGUGCCUAAUACAUGCAAGUCGAGCGAACAGACGAGGAGCUUGCUCCUCUUACGUUAGCGGCGGACGGGUGAGUAACACGUGGAUAACCGACCUAUAAGACUGGGAUAACUUCGGGAAACCGGAUCUAAUACCGGAUAAUAUAUUGAACCGCAUGGUUCAAUAGUGAAAGACGGUUUUGCUGUCACUUAUAGAUGUAUCCGCGCCGCAUUAGCUAGUUGGUAAGGUAACGGCUUACCAAGGCGACGAUGCGUAGCCGACCUGAGAGGGUGAUCGGCCACACUGGAACUGAGACACGGUCCAGACUCCUACGGGAGGCAGCAGUAGGGAAUCUUCCGCAAUGGGCGAAAGCCUGACGGAGCAACGCCGCGUGAGUGAUGAAGGUCUUCGGAUCGUAAAACUCUGUUAUUAGGGAAGAACAAAUGUGUAAGUAACUAUGCACGUCUUGACGGUACCUAAUCAGAAAGCCACGGCUAACUACGUG